rnacentral:rRNA from 1 species
UACGGAGGGUGCAAGCGUUAAUCGGAAUUACUGGGCGUAAAGCGCACGUAGGCUGUAGUGUAAGUCAGGGGUGAAAUCCCACGGCUCAACCGUGGAACUGCCUUUGAUACUGCACAACUUGAAUCCGGGAGAGGGUGGCGGAAUUCCUAGUGUAGCGGUGAAAUGCGUAGAGAUUAGGAAGAACACCAGUGGCGAAGGCGGCCACCUGGACCGGUAUUGACGCUGAGGUGCGAAAGCGUGGGGAGCAAAC